AUCUCCCACCCUUUCUGUACCGUUAUCACUACGUGUUAGAUACUCUGUGUAUGUUAACGUAGAUCAACAGCAAGCCAAACUCAAUUUCAUGAGCCAGGAAGCUGAGCGUCUUGCUCCUUUAUUACGUUUUCUUGACACAACUUUGAGCAGUGGUGUGGAAAGCUCAAUAAAAG